rnacentral:tRNA from 1 species
UGGCCCAGCUGGUAGAGCAUGGUGUUUGCAACGCCAGGGUUGUGGGUUCGAUUCCCAC